AUGGGUUCCAGGCUUCUUUGCUAUGCAGUCCUCUGCCUACUGGGAGCAGGCUCCUUGGACACAGCUGUUUCACAGACUCCAAAAUAUGUCAUCACACAGGUGGGAAAGAAGAAUUCCCUUAAAUGUGAACAAAAUCUGGGCCACAAUACUAUGUACUGGUAUAAGCAGGCCUUCAAGCAAUCAGUGAAGAUUAUGUUUAGCUACAACUCUCAAAAACUAAUUUUAAAUGAAACAGUUCCAAGUCGCUUCUCCCCUGAAUCUCCAGACAGGGCUCAUUUAAACCUUCAUGUCACAUCUCUGGAGCCAGAGGAUUCUGCAGUGUAUCUUUGCACCAGCAGUCAAGGCACAGCCUUGCAGAGUCACUGCCUCCUUGUACAGAAACCUCCUGGCCAGCCAGGAAGCUGUGGCUAUGCCCAGGCCUCCAUUAGUCCUUAG